AACGAACGCUGGCGGCAUGCCUAACACAUGCAAGUCGAACGAGACCUUCGGGUCUAGUGGCGCACGGGUGCGUAACGCGUGGGAAUCUGCCCUUGGGUUCGGAAUAACAGUUAGAAAUGACUGCUAAUACCGGAUGAUGACUUCGGUCCAAAGAUUUAUCGCCCAGGGAUGAGCCGGCGUAGGAUUAGCUUGUUGGUGAGGUAAAAGCUCACCAAGGCGACGAUCCUUAGCUGGUCUGAGAGGAUGAUCAGCCACACUGGGACUGAGACACGGCCCAGACUCCUACGGGAGGCAGCAGUGGGGAAUAUUGGACAAUGGGCGAAAGCCUGAUCCAGCAAUGCCGCGUGAGUGAUGAAGGCCUUAGGGUUGUAAAGCUCUUUUACCCGGGAUGAUAAUGACAGUACCGGGAGAAUAAGCCCCGGCUAACUCCGUGCCAGCAGCCGCAGUAAAAC
rnacentral:rRNA from 1 species